rnacentral:rRNA from 2 species
UAGGUGCUUGCAUUUAAAUGAUUUAACAUUGAGACGAGUGGCGAACUGGUGAGUAACACGUGGGUAACCUGCCCUUGAAGUAGGGGAUAACACUUGGAAACAGGUGCUAAUACCGUAUAACAACUCAAACCACAUGGUUUGAGUUUGAAAGAUGGCUUCGGCUGUCACUUUAGGAUGGACCCGCGGCGUAUUAGCUUGUUGGUGAGGUAACGGCUCACCAAGGCAAUGAUACGUAGCCGACCUGAGAGGGUAAUCGGCCACAUUGGGACUGAGACACGGCCCAAACUCCUACGGGAGGCAGCAGUAGGGAAUCUUCCACAAUGGACGAAAGUCUGAUGGAGCAACGCCGCGUGAGUGAUGAAGGGUUUCGGCUCGUAAAACUCUGUUGUUGGAGAAGAACAGGUGUGAGAGUAACUGUUCACAUCUUGACGGUAUCCAACCAGAAAGCCACGGCUAACUACGUGCCAGCAGCCGCGGUAAUACGUAGGUGGCAAGCGUUGUCCGGAUUUAUUGGGCGUAAAGCGAGCGCAGGCGGUUUUUUAGGUCUGAUGUGAAAGCCUUCGGCUUAACCGGAGAAGUGCAUCGGAAACCGGGAGACUUGAGUGCAGAAGAGGACAGUGGAACUCCAUGUGUAGCGGUGAAAUGCGUAGAUAUAUGGAAGAACACCAGUGGCGAAAGCGGCUGUCUGGUCUGUAACUGACGCUGAGGCUCGAAAGCAUGGGUAGCGAACAGGAUUAGA